AUCAACAACAAUCAUCAUUAUCGACAUCGAAAAUAUCUCUAUUUGGUAUUUGAAAGACUAAACUCCAUUCAGAUUCUACCGGAUUUUGAAUGUAGAAACAUUGUUGAGCCUGAUUUGCCAAAAUGAAAGGUUCCUUUCCAAAAUUUCCCCGUGUUGUGUUCACUGAAACGACACCAAAAUCAUCGACUUUUGUACCUGCUUUUCCAGGAUCGUACCACUUACAUUCAAACAUACAAUAUUUAGUCGUGUGACCGUAGCAAAUUUCGAAAACAUUUUCUAAUAAUCCAUGAUAUUCAAUAAUCCUGAUAUAUCACCGUAUCCUGGAUAAUCAUGUAUCGUCCACAGAAGUGAUGCAAACAUCUUAAAAGAUUUCUGCGUACGUACAUCAAAAGUUGUAACACCAUCUGCCCAUAAAAUCUUCAGUUCAUCAAUAAGCGGUUGAAGAUAGACAUCUAUAUCGUUCCCUGGAGCUGACGGACCGGAAAUUAGUAGAGACAACAUGAAAUUCGGUUGCUUCAUACACAUCCAAGGUGGAAGGUUGUACGGCAUAACUAUCACUGGCCAAGUACUAUGAGAUAGAGAUUGCUGACUGAACGGGUUGAAUCCAUCAGUUGCUAAACCAAGUCUCACAUUACGAGGUUCGGAUGCAAAUUUGGGAUGAACCUCGUCAAAUUUCUUCCAUCGUAAAGAAUCAGCUGAAUGCCGAAGAAAUCCGUCGUUUUUACGUUUGGAAUGGUGUCAUAUCAUGUCUUCAGAAAUUUUGGAACACAGAUACAAUAUCUUCAAACGUGGAAUCAACGGAAAAUGACGAAGACGUUUCGCUGGAACACGUUUGUUUUCGCCUUCGACGACCCACCUACACGUUCCGCAAUAGUUUGUGCGUCUGCAUACUCAUUUCGAUAUAAAAUACAAUCGUUGCGACAUGCAUCGAUUUUCGUAUAAUUGAGACCCAGGUCACGAACCACCAAUUUCGCAUGGUACAUGGUUUUCGGAAUGGUCGACUCCCCAUUUGGAAUAGCACAACGCAUGAUGAAUAAUAAUUUCUGAAAACUUUUAUCACUCCAAUGAUUGUCGUAUUUCAACUGAUACAAUUCUAAGAUAAAAGAUAGUUUGGAAAACUCUGUGCAACCUGGAUAUAACUGUUCUUCACCUUUUUUUAGAUGACGUAAGAACGAAUCGUCAUAUCUGUGUUCUGGAUCUUCGUCGCCUGGAUCAACAUUGACUGCAUCGACUGCAUCUUCAUGAACAGGCUCGUAUUCUAGAGGUUCUGUUUCGAGAAAUUCUUCGUCGACUGUAUUCUCAACUACAUAUUCUCCGUAAACCGCACGAACCAAUCCAAUUAUAUCGUUACCAGUUUCCGACACUAUCUCUUUUCGUUUCACUUUUUUCUCACCAUAUCUACUCGGUAACUCUUCGUGACGCGUCCAAACAUCGUAAUGUUUCAACCAACCAUUUAUGAAAACAUGCUUCCUCAUCUCCUUUAUAGGAAUCACUUCACUAUUCGUGCAGGACGAGCAUGGAUAAGGUAAAUUACCUUAUGGGUGAGUCGAAUUCGAAAUGGCGAAAUUAGUGAAAGCUGUUAACCCUUCACCGUAUUCUUUCGAAAAUUGAUCUAAACUCAUCCAAGCUUUAUCGGGUACUUUCAUGAUGUUCGACAUUAUCCUAAAAAAUUAAAUUUUUAUCGAAUUAUAAUUAAUUAGAUAAAACUUAAUUGACUAUUACAAUAUUAAUUAUAGUUCAAUUUUUUUUGGAAAAUCUAGCUAAUUAAAAGUCUAAUUGACUAUUCCGAAUCCGUUUCGUAAACGAUUUUCUUCGGAGUUGCUGGUUGCGGAACUGGAGGGGUCGGUGCUGGACGAACAGGUGUCGGCUGUGCCGGAGGGGUUGGUGCUGGACGAACAGGUACCAAUGCUGGACGUAGUGGUGCUGGUGCAGGAUGAACCUGAAGAUAAAACCGGAAAGCAUCUUGGGGAUUGGGUGGUAGAGUCCUCUUACGAGGAAAUUGCUUCACCCUACAUGGCAUUUUUAAAAUCUAUAAAUAAAUAAAU
rnacentral:lncRNA from 1 species